UACGGAGGGUGCAAGCGUUAUCCGGAUUCACUGGGUUUAAAGGGUGUGUAGGCGGUUAUUUAAGGCAGGGGUGAAAUCUCCAGGCUCAACCUGGAAACUGCCAUUGAUACUAUUUAUCUUGAAUAUCGUUGAGGUUGGCGGAAUAUAUCAUGUAGCGGUGAAAUGCAUAGAUAUGAUAUAGAACACCGAUUGCGAAGGCAGCUAACUAAGCGAUUAUUGACGCUGAGGCACGAAAGCGUGGGGAUCAAACAGG
rnacentral:rRNA from 1 species